rnacentral:rRNA from 1 species
AGGGUUCGAUUCUGGCUCAGAACGAACGCUGGCGGCAGGCCUAACACAUGCAAGUCGAGCGCGCCCUUCGGGGUGAGCGGCGGACGGGUUAGUAACGCGUGGGAACGUACCCUUUGGUAGGGAAUAGCCACUGGAAACGGUGAGUAAUACCCUAUGAGCCCUUCGGGGGAAAGAUUUAUCGCCAAAGGAUCGGCCCGCGUUAGAUUAGGUAGUUGGUGGGGUAAUGGCCUACCAAGCCUACGAUCUAUAGCUGGUUUUAGAGGAUGAUCAGCAACACUGGGACUGAGACACGGCCCAGACUCCUACGGGAGGCAGCAGUGGGGAAUCUUGGACAAUGGGGGCAACCCUGAUCCAGCCAUGCCGCGUGAGUGAAGAAGGCCUUAGGGUCGUAAAGCUCUUUCGCCUGUGAAGAUAAUGACGGUAGCAGGUAAAGAAACCCCGGCUAACUCCGUGCCAGCCGCGGC